rnacentral:rRNA from 1 species
AUUGAACGCUGGCGGCAGGCCUAACACGUGCAAGUCGAGCGGAUGAAGGGAGCUUGCUCCUGGAUUCAGCGGCGGACGGGUGAGUAAUGCCUAGGAAUCUGCCUGGUAGUGGGGGAUAACGUCCGGAAACGGGCGCUAAUACCGCAUACGUCCUGAGGGAGAAAGUGGGGGAUCUUCGGACCUCACGCUAUCAGAUGAGCCUAGGUCGGAUUAGCUAGUUGGUGGGGUAAAGGCCUACCAAGGCGACGAUCCGUAACUGGUCUGAGAGGAUGAUCAGUCACACUGGAACUGAGACACGGUCCAGACGCCUACGGGAGGCAGCAGUGGGGAAUAUUGGACAAUGGGCGAAAGACUGAUCCAGCCAUGCCGCGUGUGUGAAGAAGGUCUUCGGAUUGUAAAGCACUUUAAGUUGGGAGGAAGGGCAGUAAGUUAAUACCUUGCUGUUUUGACGUUACCAACAGAAUAAGCACCGGCUAACUUCGUG